AUUGAACGCUGGCGGCAGGCCUAACACAUGCAAGUCGAGCGGAUGAAGGGAGCUUGCUCCUGGAUUCAGCGGCGGACGGGUGAGUAAUGCCUAGGAAUCUGCCUGGUAGUGGGGGAUAACGUCCGGAAACGGGCGCUAAUACCGCAUACGUCCUGAGGGAGAAAGUGGGGGAUCUUCGGACCUCACGCUAUCAGAUGAGCCUAGGUCGGAUUAGCUAGUUGGUGGGGUAAAGGCCUACCAAGGCGACGAUCCGUAACUGGUCUGAGAGGAUGAUCAGUCACACUGGAGCUGAGACACGGUCCAGACUCCUACGGGAGGCAGCAGUGGGGAACAUUGGACAAUGGGCGAAAGCCUGAUCCAGCCAUGCCGCGUGUGUGAAGAAGGUCUUCGGAUUGUAAAGCACUUUAAGUUGGGAGGAAGGGCAGUAGGUUAAUACCUUGCUGUUUUGACGGUACCAACAGAAUAAGCACCGGCUAACUUCGUG
rnacentral:rRNA from 1 species